rnacentral:rRNA from 1 species
AUGGCUGCGUCGGUAUGGUUCUUCUGGAUGGCCUCCCUCGGUGCCAUCCAAGUUUUCGCUCUCAGCAUCCGCCUCCUCGCCAAUCUCGUGCUCUUCCUGCGCCGGCCCAAGGAUCUCUGUCGCACAUACGGAGCCUGGGCCGUCGUCACUGGGCCAACAUCAGGCAUCGGACGUGCCAUGUCCCUGGAGCUCGCACGGUCUGGCCUCAAUCUUGUCCUCGUAGGUCGAGACCCCGCUAGACUCCGACACAUCUCCGAAAUGAUCUCCAGGACUUACGCCAUGCAAACCAAGACCGUGUUGUUCGAUUUCUCCCUCGUAUCCACUGUGCAAGGUGAAGAGGCGAUGAGUCGCUUCCGGGAGGCCGUGGCGGGACUGGAUGUAGGGGUGCUGGUGAACAACUCCGGGGUGGCGAAGCCCGGCGCGGUGUACCUCCACGAGGUGGACGUGGAAGCGUGGGUGAGGAUGAUAUGUGUGAACGUACUAGCGCUGACGGAGGUGACGGCCGAGGUGCUGCCAGGGAUGGUGCGCCGGGGCAGGGGUGCAGUCGUGAACAUCGGCUCGGGCUCAGGAUCUGUCCUCCCUUCCCACCCUCUGUACUCUGUCUACGUCGCCACCAAACGGUACGUCGCAGAGCUCUCCAGGAGCCUCUCCGUGGAGUACGAGAGUGCAUGCAUCGAUGUGCAAUGUUAG